GAUGAACGCUAGCGGCAGGCUUAACACAUGCAAGUCGAGGGGUAUGCCGAUUUAUCGGCAGAGACCGGCGCACGGGUGCGUAACGCGUAUGCAAUCUACCUUUCACAGAGGGAUAGCCCAGAGAAAUUUGGAUUAAUACCUCAUAGUAUAGCAAUUUCGCAUGAAACCACUAUUAAAAGUUCCAACGGUGAAAGAUGAGCAUGCGUCCCAUUAGCUAGAUGGUAAGGUAACGGCUUACCAUGGCUACGAUGGGUAGGGUCCUGAGAGGGAGAUCCCCCACACUGGUACUGAGACACGGACCAGACUCCUACGGGAGGCAGCAGUGAGGAAUAUUGGUACAAUGGACGCAAGUCUGAACCAGCCAUGCCGCGUGCCAGGAUGACGGUCUAUGGAUUGUAAACUGCUUUUGUACGAGAAGAAA
rnacentral:rRNA from 1 species